UACGUAGGUGGCAAGCGUUGUCCGGAAUUAUUGGGCGUAAAGCGCGCGCAGGCGGUCCUUUAAGUCUGAUGUGAAAACCCACGGCUCAACCGUGGAGGGUCAUUGGAAACUGGGGGACUUGAGUACAGAAGAGAAGAGUGGAAUUCCACGUGUAGCGGUGAAAUGCGUAGAGAUGUGGAGGAACACCAGUGGCGAAGGCGACUCUUUGGUCUGUAACUGACGCUGAGGCGCGAAAGCGUGGGGAGCAAACAGG
rnacentral:rRNA from 1 species